GACGAACGCUGGCGGCGUGCUUAACACAUGCAAGUCGAACGAAGAGCGAUGGACGCUUGCUUCUAUCAAUCUUAGUGGCGAACGGGUGAGUAACGCGUAAUCAACCUGCCCUUCAGAGGGGGACAACAGUUGGAAACGACUGCUAAUACCGCAUACGAUCUAAUCUCGGCAUCGAGGAUAGAUGAAAGGUGGCCUCUACAUGUAAGCUAUUACUGAAGGAGGGGAUUGCGUCUGAUUAGCUAGUUGGAGGGGUAACGGCCCACCAAGGCGAUGAUCAGUAGCCGGUCAGAGAGGAUGAACGGCCACAUUGGGACUGAGACACGGCCCAGACUCCUACGGGGGGCAGCAGUGGGGAAUCUUCCGCAAUGGACGAAAGUCUGACGGAGCAACGCCGCGUGAGUGAUGACGGCCUUCGGGUUGUAAAGCUCUGUUAAUCGGGACGAAAGGCCUUCUUGCGAAUAGUGAGAAGGAUUGACGGUACCGGAAUAGAAAGCCACGGCUAACUACGUG
rnacentral:rRNA from 1 species